CCCUUAGAUGUUCUGGGCCGCACGCGCGCUACACUGAUGCAUUCAACGAGUCUAAAACCUGGUCUGAUAGGGCUGGGUAAUCUUUUGAAAGUGCAUCGUGAUUGGGAUAGAUGAUUGCAAUUCUUCAUCUUCAACGAGGAAUGCCUAGUAAACGCAAGUCAUCAGCUCGCAUUGAUUACGUCCCUGCCCUUUGUACACACCGCCCGUCGCUCCUACCGAUUGAAUGAUCCGAUGAAUACCAUGGAUUGAGAGUACGAAUAGGUUCGCUUAUUUCUGCUGCUCGAGAAGUGGAGUAAAUCUUAUCAUUUAGAGGAAGGAGAAGUCGUAACA
rnacentral:rRNA from 1 species